CGCAUACUACGGUGUGCCGCCACAGCCACGCACCAAACUCACGUACACACUCAUGCACGCACAUGCGAAGUGACACGGUUCUUUCCACGCGCAUGGUGUUCAUGCGGCCUGCUUUACCCCCUUCCCUCUACCCCUUCUCGCACAGGAGCGUCUGUAGAUGCCACGGAGUGCGUGGUGGUACGCCCGCCGAGCAGUAGCUUGCGGUUGAGGGCCUUGGCUGCGCAUCUGUUUUCUUUGUUUGUCGAAGUAGUGUAGUUGGGCCGGGGCGCCCACGUGUGCGUGUGCCCGUGAAUGAAAGCGCUAAUGGACAAGGUGUCGCCGCCAUUUUCUUUUGUGACUCUCUCACGUGCAUUCGUGUACCUGCCCACUUGAAGUCCCUUAGAGAGGCAACGGUCAAGUUGACGACCCACACUAAAGCACACGUAGACACCUACAUCUGUGCCAAUAGGACGGCUGAAACCGGAGAGAGUGGGAACGGGUGAGCCUAUUUUUCAUUUUUAGCAAUGUGCGUCUAUUCUCUGCCACAGUGCAUUUCACUGAGCGCCUCUCGAUAACCCCCCCAGGCCCUGCCACAGGCCCCCAUCCGCGUCGUGCGAUGCAGAGCGAGAGACACGCCAGUGCAGCAAUGCGCCCGGCUCAGCCGUCGGAGCACCACCCCCCUGCCUCGAGCACCGCACACCCACCCGCGCCCCGCAGGUCGCCUCACAGCCGCUCCCCCACUAUGCCGGGCGCCACCGGGUGCAUUCUCUCCUCAGGGGUGGGUGGGUGGCUCCCCACACCCCCGUACGCAGUGCGAGGGCCGGGGGUGGGAUUACACGCUCGAGCCACGCUGACGCUUCGCCUACCAUAUGCGUGGCGCAAGCCUGUGCACUGCCGCAGGUCGCUCCGCCGCAGCGCCAUCCAGGGCCCGACCGCCGGCGUCAGUGGGGCGGUACAUCGCUCUGACCUCCCCACGUGGCAGGUGCUUCACCGCGCCACCACCACAGGCGGCUCGGCAUUGGGCAGGGGGAGAGACGAAGGAGGGGCUGCGUGGCCUCCCCAGACAGAGUGGGGGCACUGGGCCCUGAGAUGCCACGCGCUGCGGCAUCACCCCCUGUCAUCCGGGUGAGGACUACUGAGUCUAGC
rnacentral:misc_RNA from 1 species